rnacentral:rRNA from 1 species
AGUGAACGCUGGCGGUAGGCCUAACACAUGCAAGUCGAACGGCAGCACAGUAAGAGCUUGCUCUUACGGGUGGCGAGUGGCGGACGGGUGAGGAAUACAUCGGACUCUACUUUUUCGUGGGGGAUAACGUAGGGAAACUUACGCUAAUACCGCAUACGACCUACGGGUGAAAGCAGGGGAUCUUCGGACCUUGCGCGAUUGAAUGAGCCGAUGUCGGAUUAGCUAGUUGGCGGGGUAAAGGCCCACCAAGGCGACGAUCCGUAGCUGGUCUGAGAGGAUGAUCAGCCACACUGGAACUGAGACACGGUCCAGACUCCUACGGGAGGCAGCAGUGGGGAAUAUUGGACAAAGGGCGCAAGCCUGAUCCAGCCAUACCGCGUGGGUGAAGAAGGCCUUCGGGUUGUAAAGCCCUUUUGUUGGGAAAGAAAAGCAGCAGGUUAAUACCCCGCUGUUCUGACGGUACCCAAAGAAUAAGCACCGGCUAACUUCGUG